CCGGUGAAGGAGCCACAGCCAUGCUAAGCGAACAUCACUGAAUCCACUUUCCAUGAAGAAAAGUGCGAAAAUAAUCUUCAUCCACACUGCGAUGUGGAGCAUAAACCCUCCAAAAACAACACAUGGGACUUAAACUUGACAUGAUGCUCCCGAUUCACCAGCUGCACGUGUAUAGAGUUGUAAACUUGUCUCACACGUCAAGUUCCAUGACUGACACGGCACCUGACCAAUGGGAGGGAGAAGAGCGAACCAAACAACCAAUAAGCUUCCAGGUUUGUGAGGGGCCACAUUGGAGGGGCCACAUGCAGAUCUGGAGCCACAGGUCGCAGACCCCAGUACUAACUCUGCCGCUCAGCUUGGAAGUAGCUCACUUUUACUGCCGAUCUGGAACUGGCUUUCUGACUUUUUUCUAUCAAUGUUGAUCAAAACAUUA